GGAAGGGGUGUAUUUAUUAGAUUAAAACCAAUGCCCCUUUCGGGGCUUCUUUGGUGAUUCAUAAUAACUUCAGGGGUCGCACGGCCUUUGCGCGGCGAUGGUUCAUUCAAAUUUCUUCCCUAUCAACUUUGAAUGUUUGGGUCUUGGCCAAACAUGGUGGGCAACGGUAACGGAGGGUUAGGGCUCGACCCCGGAAGAAGGAGCCUGAGAAACGGGCUACUACAUCCAAGGAAGGCAGCAGGCGCGCAAAUUACCCAAUCCCAAUUCGGGGAGGUAGUGACAAUAAAUACUGAUACAGGGCUCUUUUGGGUCCUGUAAUUGGAAUGAGUACAAUUUAAAUCCCUUAACGAGGAACAAUUGGAGGGCAAGUCUGGUGCCAGCAGCCGCGGUAAUUCCAGCUCCAAUAGCGUAUAUUAAAGUUGUUGUGGUUAAAAAGCUCGUAGUUGAACCUUGGGCCUGGCUGGCCGGUCCGCCUCACCGCGUGUACUGGUCCGGCCGGGCCUUUCCCUCUGUGGAACUCCAUGCCCUUCACUGGGUGUGGCAGGGAACCAGGACUUUUAC
rnacentral:rRNA from 1 species